rnacentral:rRNA from 1 species
GAUGAACGCUGGCGGCGUGCCUAAUACAUGCAAGUCGAGCGAACAGACGAGGAGCUUGCUCCUCUGACGUUAGCGGCGGACGGGUGAGUAACACGUGGAUAACCUACCUAUAAGACUGGGAUAACUUCGGGAAACCGGAGCUAAUACCGGAUAAUAUCUUGAACCGCAUGGUUCAAUAGUGAAAGACGGUUUUGCUGUCACUUAUAGAUGGAUCCGCGCCGCAUUAGCUAGUUGGUAAGGUAACGGCUUACCAAGGCAACGAUGCGUAGCCGACCUGAGAGGGUGAUCGGCCACACUGGAACUGAGACACGGUCCAGACUACUACGGGAGGCAGCAGUAGGGAAUCUUCCGCAAAGGGCGAAAGCCUGACGGAGCAACGCCGCGUGAGUGAUGAAGGUCUUCGGAUCGUAAAACUCUGCUAUUAGGGAAGAACAAAUGUGUAAGUAAAUAUGCACGUCUUGACGGUACCUAAUCAGAAAGCCACGGCUAACUACGUG